UGCAGUCGAACGGUGAACACGGAGCUUGCUCUGUGGGAUCAGUGGCGAACGGGUGAGUAACACGUGAGCAACCUGCCCCUGACUCUGGGAUAAGCGCUGGAAACGGCGUCUAAUACUGGAUAUGUGACGUGAUCGCAUGGUCUGCGUCUGGAAAGAAUUUCGGUUGGGGAUGGGCUCGCGGCCUAUCAGCUUGUUGGUGAGGUAAUGGCUCACCAAGGCGUCGACGGGUAGCCGGCCUGAGAGGGUGACCGGCCACACUGGGACUGAGACACGGCCCAGACUCCUACGGGAGGCAGCAGUGGGGAAUAUUGCACAAUGGGCGAAAGCCUGAUGCAGCAACGCCGCGUGAGGGAUGACGGCCUUCGGGUUGUAAACCUGGGUACGGGCAGACUAGAGUGCGGUAGGGGAGAUUGGAAUUCCUGGUGUAGCGGUGGAAUGCGCAGAUAUCAGGAGGAACACCGAUGGCGAAGGCAGAUCUCUGGGCCGUAACUGACGCUGAGGAGCGAAUGCUGGG
rnacentral:rRNA from 1 species